AACGAACGCUGGCGGCAGGCUUAACACAUGCAAGUCGAGCGCCCCGCAAGGGGAGCGGCAGACGGGUGAGUAACGCGUGGGAAUCUACCCAUCUCUACGGAAUAACGCAUGGAAACGUGUGCUAAUACCGUAUACGUCCUUCGGGAGAAAGAUUUAUCGGAGAAGGAUGAGCCCGCGUUGGAUUAGCUAGUUGGUGGGGUAAAGGCCUACCAAGGCGACGAUCCAUAGCUGGUUUGAGAGGAUGAUCAGCCACACUGGUACUGAGACACGGCCCAGACUCCUACGGGAGGCAGCAGUGGGUAAUAUUGGACAAUGGGCGCAAGCCUGAUCCAGCCAUGCCGCGUGAGUGAUGAAGGCCCUAGGGUUGUAAAGCUCUUUCACCGGUGAAGAUAAUGACGGUAACCGGAGAAGAAGCCCCGGCUAACUUCGUGCCAGCCGCCGCGGUAAAAC
rnacentral:rRNA from 1 species